CGGACGGGUGAGUAACGCGUGGGGAACCUGCCCUGUACCGGGGGAUAGCAGCCGGAAACGGCUGAUAAUACCGCAUAAGCGCACGAAUGUCGCAUGACAUGGUGUGAAAAACUCCGGUGGUAUAGGAUGGACCCGCGUCUGAUUAGCCGGUUGGUGGGGUAAAAGCCUACCAAAGCGAAGAUCAGUAGCCGAGUUGAGAGACUGACUGGCCACAUUGGGACUGAGACACGGCCCAGACUCCUACGGGAGGCAGCAGGA
rnacentral:rRNA from 1 species